rnacentral:rRNA from 1 species
CCUACGGGAGGCAGCAGUGGGGGAUAUUGCACAAUGGGGGAAACCCUGAUGCAGCGACGCCGCGGGUGGGAAGACGGUCCUCUGGAGUGUAAACCACGGUCCCCAGGGACGAAGAUGACGGUACAUGGGGAGGAAGCGCCGGCUAACUACGUGCCAGCAGCCGCGGUAAUACGUAGGGAGCGAGCGUUGUCCGGAAUUACUGGGUGGAGAGGGAGCGUAGGCGGGACUGCAAGUUGGGUGUCAAAUCUACCGGCUCAACCGGUAGCCGCACUCAAAACUGCAGUUCUUGAGUGAAGUAGAGGCAGGCGGAAUUCCUAGUGUAGCGGUGAAAUGCGUAGAUAUUAGGAGGAACACCAGUGGCGAAGGCGGCCUGCUGGGCUUUUACUGACGCUGAGGCUCGAAAGUGUGGGGAGCAAACAGGAUUAGAUACCCGAGUAGUC